GGGGCUGACCGGUAUUGACGGGGUGAUUGAUUGGCAUGUAAGCAUGUAGUGCUUUGGACAGUUGGCACUUGAAUCUCAAUUUCCACAACUAUAGUUGGCGAAACUCAAUUCGCAAUGGCUGCCUAAUCAGGACGAUUACGCGAUGCCUUCGGUUCGGAUGUGUAUCUCUUAUCGCAUAUCCACUAGAACCGUCAUUAGAUAGGGGCGUUUGUUGGUAAGCCGCGGGCUAUCAAACGUACACAGCGGAUAUAGGUUAAGUUGGCAAGGAAAGCAGCCUGCCUAACCCGAACACAAUGCUUUCUCUAAACAUGUAGAAAGCGUGACCAUUGCACUUCCGGACCAGGGUUCGAAUCCCUGCAGCUCCACUA
rnacentral:tmRNA from 1 species